UCUUUCUAAAACGGCGCUGUGGCCAUUAUCUCUAGCCGCCCACUCUCUCCCCAUCCAUUCUACUUCCCCUAUCUUCUUCUCUUACUCAUUGAUCUCCUCCCGAUGAUUUCAUCAGGUGGUAGAGAAGCCCAUUGCUUUCUCCAUAGCUUCAGUUCUGUCCCAUGGACAGAGAAGGCGCUGAGGGAGAGAUUCAGGAGGCGUUGUGUUAUUAAGACAAAGAUCUGAAAUUUUGUUCAGUUUCUCCUUUGUUUUUUUCGGUUUAUUUAUGUGAGAUCUGUGAGGAGGAAGAUGAAAGGAGAGCGCCAUGGUACUCCAGCAGAGAGGCUUUUCAAUGCAGAGAGGCUUUAAACCCAAGAGAUCAGAUCCAAGCUUAUGUAUUUGACGGUUGAGGGAAAAGAAUAAGAAGCACAGCAUGGGAAGAAGCGGAAGUUAAUGGAGAAUCUUGAAACACAGCGUGGGAAGAAGCAGUACAAGUGCUCAUCUUAAUUUUAAAAUAGUUAUGGUCAUUGUUUUUCACUCUAAUUGAUGUUUUUGGUUUGGAAAAUUUUGGGAGGCUUAUGUAAUGUGAAUUUGGAGCGCGUGGCUGAUAUGCCCUAACUCGCAAAAAAAAAAUCUCACCUGCCAUAACAUAAUCUAAUGCCAUAAGUAAAAGUGUAAUGACGUUUAUAACUUUAAUGAAUUGAAUAUUAAAUUUUAAAGAAUGAAAUUGAGUUUUUUGUUUUUUUUUUUAAAAAGCUGUGGCUUUCUUCUUCCCCUAGCUCGUUUCCGUACACCUCCGGCGAAGAGAGCUUGAUUCGAACCACCGUCGUUUGCUGGCGCCGGCUCAUUUUUGGUUGUUUAACUACUCUUUCUGAUCCGGCCAUUUGUGUGAGAAGACUUCGAAUAGGUAUGGUGGUGUGUAUUUUGGGGAUUUAUAAAUU